ACUAACAAUCAACACACCACCAUAACUAACCCCACAUGCACUAAAUAAAGUUAAACAAACCAUUUUUCCCCCUAAGUAUGGGCGACAGAAAAGGAACAUUGGAGCAAUAGAGAAAGUACCGCAAGGGAAAGCUGAAAGAGAAAUGAAACAACCCAGUUAAGCUUAAAAAAGCAGAGAUUAAAGCUCGUACCUUUUGCAUCAUGAACUAGCGAGAAUAACCAGGCGAAAAGAUUUUUAGUCUGAUGUCCCGAAACCAAGUGAGCUACUCCAAGACAGCCUAUAACAAGGGCAAACCCGUCUCUGUGGCAAAAGAGUGGGAAGAGCUUUGAGUAGAGGUGACAGACCUAUCGAACUUGGUCAUAGCUGGUUGCCUGAGAAAUGGAUAGAAGUUCAGCCUUUUUAAUUCUUUAUUCAUAACCAAACCAGAUAAUAAGAUACUAAAGAGAGUUACCCAAAGGGGGUACAGCCCCUUUAGGACAAGACACAACUUCCCCAGGAGGAUAAAGAUCAAAAUAACUAUAGGAGAGCAUGUUUUAGUGGGCCUAAGAGCAGCCAUCCCUAAUGAAAGCGUUAUAGCUCAAACACCCUCCACCACCCGCAGAUCCCGAUAACCCCAUCUUAACCCCUAACAAUACCAGGCCGUCCCAUGCCCCCAUGGGAGUGACCAUGCUAGUAUGAGUAAUAAGAGAAUAAGACUCUCUCCAUGCACACGUGUACGUCGGAACGAACCCCCGCCGAUCCUUAACGGACCCAAUACAAAGAGGAGAUAGGGCCACACGACAGAGAACAAGAAAAACACCCUAAAAUUAACCGUUAACCCUACACUGG
rnacentral:rRNA from 1 species